UACAGAGGGUGCGAGCGUUAAUCGGAAUUACUGGGCGUAAAGCGUGCGCAGACGGUCACGUAAGUCGGGUGUGAAAGCCCCGGGCUCAACCUGGGAAUUGCAUUCGAGACUGCGUGGCUAGGGUGCGGAAGGGGGAAGCGGAAUUUCCGGUGUAGCGGUGAAAUGCGUAGAUAUCGGAAGGAACACCAGUGGCGAAAGCGGCUUCCUGGUCCAGCACCGACGUUCAGGCACGAAAGCGUGGGGAGCAAACAGG
rnacentral:rRNA from 1 species